GACGGAGGAGGCAAGCGUUAUCCGGGAUUAUUGGGCGUAAAGCGUCCGCAGGUGGCGAUUCAAGUCUGCUGUCAAAGGUCGGGGCUUAACCCCGGGAAGGCAGUGGAAACUGAAUAGCUAGAGUGCGGUAGGGGCAGAGGGAAUUCCCGGUGUAGCGGUGAAAUGCGUAGAGAUCGGGAAGAACACCAGUGGCGAACGCGCUCUGCUGGGCCUGCACUGACACUGAGGGACGAAAGCUAGGGGAGCGAAAGG
rnacentral:rRNA from 1 species